UUAAUUGAAGAGUUUGAUCAUGGCUCAGAUUGAACGCUGGCGGCAGGCCUAACACAUGCAAGUCGAGCGGUAGCACAGAGAGCUUGCUCUCGGGUGACGAGCGGCGGACGGGUGAGUAAUGUCUGGGAAACUGCCUGAUGGAGGGGGAUAACUACUGGAAACGGUAGCUAAUACCGCAUAACGUCGCAAGACCAAAGAGGGGGACCUUCGGGCCUCUUGCCAUCAGAUGUGCCCAGAUGGGAUUAGCUAGUAGGUGGGGUAAUGGCUCACCUAGGCGACGAUCCCUAGCUGGUCUGAGAGGAUGACCAGCCACACUGGAACUGAGACACGGUCCAGACUCCUACGGGACGCAGCAGUGGGGAAUAUUGCACAAUGGGCGCAAGCCUGAUGCAGCCAUGCCGCGUGUAUGAAGAAGGCCUUCGGGUUGUAAAGUACUUUCAGCGGGGAGGAAGG
rnacentral:rRNA from 1 species